rnacentral:rRNA from 1 species
GUCAAAAAAAUAAAGGCUUACGGUGGAUACCUAGGCAUCCAGAGACGAAGAAGGGCGUGGAAACCGACGAAACGCUUCAAGGAGCUGGAAACAAGCAUUGAUUUGAAGAUUCCCGAAUAGGGCAACCUUAUAAACUUCCUUUUUAAUUCAUAGAUAGGAAAGAGAUAACCCGGUGAAUUGAAACAUCUUAGUAGCCGGAGGAAAAGAAAGCAAACGCGAUUCCCUUAGUAGCGGCGAGCGGACUGGGAAUAGCCUAAACCUUUUUAUUUUUUUAUUAAAAUUAAUAGGGGUAGUGGGAGAAUAAAUAAAUUAUGUUUUAAAAAUCUAGUUUAUAUUUGAUACGAAGCAGCUGAAUCCUGCACCAUAGAUGGUGAAAGUCCAGUAGUAAAAAAAAAUAAAAUAAACUAUAAUUAAUCUUACUUUACUUGCUUCUUGUUAAGCAACAAGAAGACUUGCUCCUUGCUUCGCAAGCAAAGCAACAAGAAGACUUGCUUCUUGCUUCGCAAGCAAAGCAACAAGAAGACUUGUUUUCUAAGCAUAAGAUUUAUAAAGCUAAGCUUUAUAAAUUUAACUUUUUUAAAAUUAAGCUUUUUUUCUAAGUAAGUAAGUAAAAACUUAUAUUUAAUAUUUUAUCCCGAGUAGCAUGGGACACGUGAAAUCCCGUGUGAAUCAACGAGGACCACCUCGUAAGGCUAAAUACUCCUGGGUGACCAAUAGUGAAGUAGUACCGCGAGGGAAAGGUGAAAAGAACCCCUGUCGGGGAGUGAAAUAGAAUAUGAAACCGUAAGCUGUCAAGCAGUGGGAGGGCUACAUAAGAGCCUGACCGCAUGCCUGUUGAAGAAUGAGCCGGCGACUUAUAGAAAGUGGCUAGGUUAAUUCCUAUAGAAGGAGCCAAAGCGAAAGCGAGUCUGAAUAGGGCUUAUGUCACUUUUUAUGGACCCGAACCCGGGUGAUCUAACCAUGGCCAGGAUGAAGCUUGGGUAAAGCCAAGUGGAAGUCCGAACCGACCGAUGUUGAAAAAUCGGCGGAUGAGUUGUGGUUAGGGGUGAAAUGCCAAUCGAACUCGGAGCUAGCUGGUUCUCCCCGAAAUGCGUUGAGGCGCAGCGAUUGACGAAAAUUAAAAGGGCUGCCUAGGGGUAAAGCACUGUUUCGGUGCGGGCUGCGAGAGCGGUACCAAAUCGUAGCAAACUAAGAAUACUAGGUAUAGCUUUCCGUCAAUCAGUGAGACGGUGGGGGAUAAGCUUCAUCGUCAAGAGGGAAACAGCCCAGAUCAUCAGCUAAGGCCCCUAAAUGACCGCUAAGUGGUAAAGGAGGUGAGAAUGCAGAAACAACCAGGAGGUUUGCUUAGAAGCAGCCACCCUUAAAAGAGUGCGUAAUAGCUCACUGGUGGAGCGUUCUUGCGCCGAAAAUGAACGGGACUAAGCGGUCUGCCGAAGCUAUGAGAUUUCUUAUGUUUUUUUGCAAACAAUCGUUUUGCUUAACUUUGCUUAAAAGAAAUCGGUAGGGGAGCGUUCCGCUCUAGUGUGAAGCAUAAACGAAAGUCAAUGUGGACGAAGCGGAAGUGAGAAUGUCGGCUUGAGUAACGCAAACAUUGGUGAGAAUCCAAUGCCCUGAAAACCUAAGGUUUCCUUCACUAGGUUCGUCCAUGGAGGGUUAGUCAGGACCUAAGACCAGGCUGAAAAGCGUAGUCGAUGGAAAACAGGUUAAUAUUCCUGUACUAAAUUUUAUUUUGUACCGAAGGACGAAGAAGGCAAUAAUUGAUCGAAUUUGGAUUUCGAUGGAAGCAUUCAACGCUAUGAUAGAUAGAAGAAAAACUAUUCUUGAGCCAAGAUGUAAAACGGUUUUAUUUGUAACUUAGAAAACUUGUUUUCUAAGCUUAUGAGUAAUUCUCAAUGAAUUGUCAAACUUCCUAGAAAAGUUCGAACUACUUUAUAAUAAAAUUUACCUGUACCCGAAACCGACACAGGUAGGUAGGUAGAGAAUACCAAAGGGCGCGAGAAAACUCUCUCUAAGGAACUCGGCAAAAUGGCCCCGUAACUUCGGGAGAAGGGGUGGUUACCUAUAAACGGUAACCCGCAGUGACCAGGCCCAGGCGACUGUUUACCAAAAACACAGGUCUCCGCAAAGUCGCAAGACGAUAUAUGGGGGCUGACGCCUGCCCAGUGCCGGAAGGUGAAGGAAGUUGGUUAUUCGUUGCUCGCAAGGAAAAAGCUAACAACCGAAGCCCCGGUGAACGGCGGCCGUAACUAUAACGGUCCUAAGGUAGCGAAAUUCCUUGUCAGGUAAGUUCUGACCCGCACGAAAGGCGUAACGAUCUGGGCACUGUCUCGGAGAGAGACUCGGUGAAAUAGACAUGUCUGUGAAGAUGCGGACUACUUGCACCUGGACAGAAAGACCCUAUGAAGCUUGACUGUAGCCUGGAAUUGGAUUUGGGCUCUUCUUGCGCAGACUAGGUGGGAGGCGUUGAUAAUUUCUUUCUGGAGAGAUUGGAGCCAUCAGUGAGAGACCACUCUGGGAGAGCUAGAAUUCUAAUGGUGAUCCUUGAAUCAGGACACUUGACAGUUUCAGGUAGGCAGUUUGACUGGGGCGGUCGCCUCCUAAAAAGUAACGGAGGCGUGCAAAGGUUCCCUCAGGCUGGACGGAAAUCAGCCGUAGAGUGUAAAGGCAGAAGGGAGCUUGACUGCAAGACUUACAAGUCGAGCAGGGGCGAAAGCCGGCCUUAGUGAUCCGACGGUGCCGAGUGGAAGGGCCGUCGCUCAACGGAUAAAAGUUACUCUAGGGAUAACAGGCUGAUCUUUCCCAAGAGUUCAUAUCGACGGAAAGGUUUGGCACCUCGAUGUCGGCUCAUCGCAACCUGGAGCGGUAGUACGUUCCAAGGGUUGGGCUGUUCGCCCAUGAAAGCGGUACGUGAGCUGGGUUCAGAACGUCGUGAGACAGUUCGGUCCAUAUCCGGUGUAAGCGUUAGAGUAUUGAGAGGAUCCUUCCAUAGUACGAGAGGACCUGGAAGGACGCACCAAUAGUAUACCAGUUCUCGCGCCAGCGGGAUACGCUGGGUAGCCAAGUGCGGAGAGGAUAACUGCUGAAAGCAUCUAAGUAGGAAGCCCACCUCGAGAUGAGUACUCUUUUAAGGUCACGGCAAGACUAGCCGUUUGAUAGGUAUCAAGUGUACGAUCAGUAAUGAUUUUAGCUAAGAUAUACUAAUAGACCGUAAUUUUGAC